CCUUUUUUUUUCCUUUUUUUUUUUUUAGCUACUUCCUUGACAUGAUCGAAUUUAUUAUUGUACUGAAGAAAAUUUUAGUCGAAGACAUUGAACUAAAUGGAUACAUGAGAACUAUUUUUUUUGUUCUACAAAUGUUAUGAAAUAAUAAAUAUGAAUAAUUGUGAGACGGUAGUGUUUUAUUUAAAAAUUUGGAAUAGAAUGAAUGAUCAUAUUUAUUUCCUUUUUAAUACCCCAUACUUUGAUAAAUCACCUGAAUCAAGGUUAUUAAUAAUAUAUACUUUUUUUUUAUUUACGAACAAAUAUAUUUCCAAAAAAUCUAUUUUAAGAAUGGUUAGUAAUUAUUCGAGUGUUGCAACAAUAAAAAAAAUAUAUUAAAUAAUCAUUUGAAAAAUUUUGUAAAUCAUACUGAAACGGUGAAUUAUAUGCGACCAAAGCAAGUGAGUCUUAUCCAACGAAUUGUAGAUUCAUUUUUGGCAGCACAAUUAUUAGAACCGACAAAAAAAAGGAGAGGAAGAAAACGACAUAUCCUUAUCCCGCAUCCCAUAAAAAUGAAGAAAAAGGUGAAAAAACAGACAAAAAAGCAGACGAAAAAACAGACGAAACAGCAGACGAAACAGCAGACGAAACAGGUGGUGAAAACGAGCACGAAAAAGAAGAAGAAAAAGGAGAAUGAGGAGGAGAAAGAGAAGGAAAAGGGCAAGGAAAAGGAGAAAAAAAAAAAAAAAAAAAAAAAAAAAAAAAAAAAAAAGAAAAAACAAGAGAAGAAAAAAGAAGAAAAGGAGGAGAAGACCAACGAGAUAGACAAAAUAGACAAAGAAAAAAAGAAAAAAAAGGAUAAGACAGAUAAGAAAGAUAAGAAGGAAAAGAACGAAAAAAAGGAAAAGAAAGAAAAGAAAGAUAAGAAAGAAAAAAAAGAUAAGAAAGAAAAAAAAGAUAAAAAAAAAAAAAAAGAUAAAAAAAAAAAGAAAGAAAAAAAAGAAAAAAAAAAAAAAAAAGAAAAAAAAAAAAAAAAAAAAAAAAAAGAUAAAAAAAAAAAGAAAGAUGAAAAAGACAUGACAGUCGAAAAAGACAUGACAGUCGAAAAAGACAUGACAGUUGAAAAAAAUAUGACAGUUGAAAAAAAUAUGACAGUUGAAAAAAAUAUGACUGUUGAAAAAAAUAUGACAGUUGAAAAAAAUAUGACAGUCGAAAAAGACAAAAAACAUAACAAAAACAAAAAAAAAAAUAAAGAUAAAAAAAAAGAUAAAAAAAAAGAUAAAAACAGAAAGAAGGACAGAAAGACCGAUAAAGCUAAAAAAACGAAAAAGAAGAUCGAAAAAAAAAAAAAAAGUGAAAAGAAGAAGAAAUUUACAAACUGAUUGAGCAUUCAUAAAAUGAGAACGAUGUUUUUUUUUUUUUUAUUACUAAAGAUUAAUUAUUUAAUUUUAUAUUAAUAUGCAUUUUGCAUGGAUCUUGCUUAUUUAUGUUAUUUUCCUGUUCACAUUUGUAGUUUACAUUAUAUUCUCAGUUCACAAUGAUACGAUGGUUUUUUUUUUUUUUUUUUUUUUUUUUUUUUUGCGUAUGAUUUUACUUUUAGUUAUUUUUUUUAACUAAUUAUGAAAGUUAUUCUUCUCAUUUUCUUCUGGUAAAUAAAAUAAAACAUAGUAGGUGCGCA
rnacentral:lncRNA from 1 species